rnacentral:rRNA from 1 species
UGGGGAAUAUUGCACAAUGGGCGCAAGCCUGAUGCAGCAACGCCGCGUGAAGGAAGAAGGCCUUUGGGUCGUAAACUUCUGUCCUAGGGGAAGAUAAUGACGGUACCCUUGGAGGAAGCCCCGGCUAACUACGUGCCAGCAGCCGCGGUAAUACGUAGGGGGCAAGCGUUAUCCGGAAUUAUUGGGCGUAAAGAGUGCGUAGGCGGUUUCUUAAGCGUGGGGUGAAAGGCUAUGGCUUAACCAUAGUUAGCCCCGCGAACUGGGAGACUUGAGUGCAGGAGAGGAAAGCGGAAUUCCUAGUGUAGCGGUGAAAUGCGUAGAUAUUAGGAGGAACACCAGUGGCGAAGGCGGCUUUCUGGACUGUAACUGACGCUGAGGCACGAAAGCGUGGGGAGCAAACAGG